AGUGAACGCUGGCGGUAGGCCUAACACAUGCAAGUCGAACGGCAGCACAGUAAGAGCUUGCUCUUACGGGUGGCGAGUGGCGGACGGGUGAGGAAUACAUCGGAAUCUACUUUUUCGUGGGGGAUAACGUAGGGAAACUUACGCUAAUACCGCAUACGACCUACGGGUGAAAGCAGGGGAUCUUCGGACCUUGCGCGAUUGAAUGAGCCGAUGUCGGAUUAGCUAGUUGGCGGGGUAAAGGCCCACUAAGGCGACGAUCCGUAGCUGGUCUGAGAGGAUGAUCAGCCACACUGGAACUGAGACACGGUCCAGACUCCUACGGGAGGCAGCAGUGGGGAAUAGUGGACAAUGGGCGCAAGCCUGAUCCAGCCAUACCGCGUGGGUGAAGAAGGCCUUCGGGUUGUAAAGCCCUUUUGUUGGGAAAGAAAAGCAGCAGGUUAAUACCCCGCUGUUCUGACGGUACCCAAAGAAUAAGCACCGGCUAACUUCGUG
rnacentral:rRNA from 1 species